rnacentral:rRNA from 1 species
UGUUGCCUGCAAGGGCGUAUGGUGGAUGCCUUGGCAGACAGGACCGAUGAAGGACGUUUGAGGCUGCGAUAUGCCUCGGGGAGCCGCCAACAGGGCUUUGAUCCGAGGAUUUCCGAAUGGGGGAACCCACCGGCCGUCAUGGGCCGGUACCGCCGUGUGCGGGGGGUACGCAGGGAAGUGAAACAUCUCAGUACCUGCAGGAAAGGAUAUUCCGUGAGUAGUGGCGAGCGAAAGCGGAUCAGGCCAAACCUUGCGCGUGUGAUACCCGUCGGGGGUUGCGCGCGGGGUGUAGAGGGAUCGCGUUUGCCGGCUCCGACGGGCCGGCCGUCAGUUGCAUAAAACCAUGUGCCAGGGGAACCGGGUUGAAUACCGGGCCGCAGAGGGUGAGGGCCCCGUACCCGAACGCGCAUGGUCUGGCGAUCGCGUCUCCCAAGUAGCACGGGCCCCGUGGAAUCCCGUGCGAAUCUGUCCCGACCGUGGGAUAAGCCUAAAUAUUCCUGUCUGACCGAUAGCGAACGAGUACCGUGAGGGAAAGGUGAAAAGUACCCCGGGAGGGGAGUGAAACAGUCUCUGAAACCAUGCGCCUACGAACCGUCGGGGCCCCCUUGUGGGGUGACGGCGUGCCUAUCGAAAAAUGAGUCUGCGAGUCAGUGGCAUGUGGCGAGCAUAACCCGUGUGGGGUAUGCGUAGCGAAGGCGAGUCUUAAAAGGCGUUUGAGUCGUGUGUCCUGGACCCGAAGCGGGAUGAUCUAGCCCUGAGCAGGUUGAAGCGCGGGUAAGACCGUGUGGAGGACCGAACCCACCUGGGUUGAAAACCGGGGGGAUGACUUGGGGCUAGGGGUGAAAGGCCAAUCAAAUUCCGUGAUAGCUGGUUCUCUCCGAAAUGCAUUUAGGUGCAGCGUCGGAUCGAUUACAUCCGGGGGGUAGAGCGACUGGAUGCUUGCGGGCCCAUAUCGGGUACCAACAGCAACCAAACUCCGAAUACCCGUGAUGCGUAUCCCGGCAGUGAGUCGGCGGGGGAUAAGCUCCGUCGUCGAAAGGGAAACAGCCCAGAUCGUCGUCUAAGGUCCCCAAGCGUGUGCUAAGUGGGAAAGGAUGUGGAGUCGCAUAGACAGCCAGGAGGUUGGCUCAGAAGCAGCCACCCUUGAAAGAGUGCGUAACAGCUCACUGGUCUAGUGGUUCCGCGCCGACAAUGUAGCGGGGCUCAAGCACACCACCGAAGACGCGGCAGUAGUUUUGCUACUGGGUAGGAGAGCGUCCCAUGCGGGGCGAAGCGGCGGCGCAAGCCCGCCGUGGACCGCAUGGGAGUGAGAAUGCAGACAUGAGUAGCGAAAGACGGGUGAAGAUCCCGUCCGCUGGACGACCAAGGGUUCCAGGGCCACGUUCAUCGUCCCUGGGUGAGUCGGGUCCUAAGGCGAGGCCGACAGGCGUAGUCGAAUGGAUGAACGGGUCGAUAUUCCCGUACCGGCAUGCAACCGGCAAAACCGAAUCCGCGAGUACUAACCUCCGGGUCCGGGCUUACGUCUCCUUCGGGAGCCGGAUGCCCUGGCCUGUUGGGACCGUAACGGUAGUAGGUCAGCGCGGGAGUGACGCAGAAGGGUAGCCGGCCGCGGAGGUGGUCUUCCGUGGUCAAGCACGCAGCCCGUCCCACAGGCAAAUCCGUGGGGCGCGUGGGCGAGGUGCGAUGAUGGGCGCCGUUGGGCGCGAUAUCCGGUGAUCCCGGCUGCCGAGAAAAGCUUCGGCGUGAGGCGGCGUGCCGCCCGUACCCCAAACCGACACUGGUGGUCAGGUAGAGAAUACCAAAGCGAUCGAGCGAAUCCUGGUCAAGGAACUCGGCAAAUCACUCCCGUUCCUUCGGUUUAAGGGAGACCCCCGAUGGUGAACACACUUGCUGUGGGAGCUUUUGGGGGUGGCACAGACCAGGGGGUAGCGACUGUUUACCAAAAACACAGGAGCGUGCGAAGGCGCAAGCCGCUGUAUACGCUCUGACGCCUGCCCGGUGCCGGAAGGUUAAGAGGAUCCGUCAGGCUUCGGCCGAAGCGGUGAAUUCAAGCCCCGGUAAACGGCGGUGGUAACUAUAACCAUCCUAAGGUAGCGAAAUUCCUUGUCGGGUAAGUUCCGACCUGCACGAAUGGCGUA